CUACGGGUUGCUGCAGUGGGGAAUAUUGGACAAUGGGGGAAACCCUGGUCCAGCAAUGCCGCGUGUGUGAAGAAGGCCUGCGGGUUGUAAAGCACUUUCGGUCGGGAGGACUGCUUCUAGCACUAAUAUUGUUGGAAGUUGACGUUACCUUCAGAAGAAGCACCGGCUAACUCCGUGCCAGCAGCCGCGGUAAUACGGAGGGUGCAAGCGUUAAUCGGAAUUACUGGGCGUAAAGCGCGCGUAGGCGGCUAGAUCAGUCGGGUGUGAAAGCCCCGGGCUUAACCUGGGAACUGCAUCCGAUACUGUCUAGCUUGAGUACAGGAGAGGAGAGUGGAAUUCCACAUGUAGCGGUGAAAUGCGUAGAUAUGUGGAGGAACACCAAUGGCGAAGGCAGCUCUCUGGCCUGAUACUGACGCUGAGGCGCGAAAGCGUGGGGAGCAAACAGGAUUAGAUACCCCUGUAGUC
rnacentral:rRNA from 1 species